rnacentral:rRNA from 1 species
CCAGCGGAGGGAUCAUUACCGAGUUUACAACUCCCAAACCCCUGUGAACAUACCAAUUGUUGCCUCGGCGGAUCAGCCCGCUCCCGGUAAAACGGGACGGCCCGCCAGAGGACCCCUAAACUCUGUUUCUAUAUGUAACUUCUGAGUAAAACCAUAAAUAAAUCAAAACUUUCAACAACGGAUCUCUUGGUUCUGGCAUCGAUGAAGAACGCAGCAAAAUGCGAUAAGUAAUGUGAAUUGCAGAAUUCAGUGAAUCAUCGAAUCUUUGAACGCACAUUGCGCCCGCCAGUAUUCUGGCGGGCAUGCCUGUUCGAGCGUCAUUUCAACCCUCAAGCCCCCGGGUUUGGUGUUGGGGAUCGGCGAGCCCUUGCGGCAAGCCGGCCCCGAAAUCUAGUGGCGGUCUCGCUGCAGCUUCCAUUGCGUAGUAGUAAAACCCUCGCAACUGGUACGCGGCGCGGCCAAGCCGUUAAACCCCCAACUUCUGAAUGUUGACCUCGGAUCAGGUAGGAAUACCCGCUGAACUUAAGCAUAUCAAUAAGCGGAGGAA